rnacentral:lncRNA from 1 species
AGGAGAUCCCUGUGACUGCUUCUCAGGCUAAAAGCACUGACAUUCCUGUCUCACACUGCUCCCACCCAUUAUCUCACCACCUGGGAAGGGAGAACAGUUCAAUACUGAUUUCAUCAGCUCAUUUCAUCCCUGUGCCUCUUGAUACAAAGCCUGGUUGUGCACACAGAUGGAUUCAGUGCAAGGACACGGCUGGGAAAGCUUGGUAGCAACCACUGAGGCUCCAAGUGCCUCUCCCACAGAAACCAGGAUUUGGGAAGAUCUCAGGAAGCUUCCUGGACCAUUCCUCAGCCCUGGGGCACAAUCAGUGCUUCCCACCAUGUUUGCUCAACAUGUUCUGAAACCUCAAGUGAUGCUGAGCCACUGCCACCCUCUCUGGCCAUGCAGCCUGGCAUUUGUGCCAGGGGGAGAGAUGUUCUGAUUUCACUGUCCCAGACCAGAGUUUGUUUAGUUUCAUCUAAGUAUUGUUUUGGGACCAGCUUGUUUCUCAGUAAUAGUUUUAAAUUAUGGCUAUUUUUACUUUUAAGUUGUUCUUUCUAGAUGCCAGAGAGAAAUGUUGAACUGUAAGGGGUGAAGAUCCUCUUACACCAGAAAUCCCCAGACUAUGUUUGAAGUCGUCUCUGCUUACUUAAACUGCCUGGCACCACUGAGAUGCCUGAGGUGCUUUCUGUGGGUGAAACCAAAUAUUAUCUGAUAUAGGGAAUGAUGCUCUGAUCCUGUGAUGGCUGGAGCUGGGAAGCUGGUUUCUGGAAUUUUCUGGAAAAUGGGAAGCAGAUGUGUGGACACCAAGGAUGGUUCCAUCUGAGAUCUUCCUAGGUCAAUGGAAAGAAUAACUGGGGCAAAUCCCAGGGCAAGGACCAGGUGACAGAAAGGCCUUAAUGGGGACCUGAAUCAUCAUCCUUUCAUACAGGUCCUGGUCACAGCUACAGAGCUCUGGGAUGCUCCUUCUGGGAAGAUUUUGGAGCUGAAGUGCCAUUGUCCAGGCAAGGUCAGUGUUGGAAAAAAACCACUGAGGAGUUAAGCCCCUUCCAAGAUGUGCAGGCACUGAGCAGGAUGUUAUGGGCAACAAACUUGGACAAGAAUAUCCAAAAAUGGAUUUUCAUGGAUAAGACACUCAUUUUGGGUCUAACCCUGUGUAUAUUGCAUUAAGUUUCUUUUGCUAAGCCCUGGAAUCAUGUGCUGGAGAAGAACUGAUAAUCCACAUUCAUCCUGGGAAAUAAAACAGUGG